rnacentral:rRNA from 1 species
UACAGAGGUCUCAAGCGUUUGUUCGGAUUCAUUGGGCGUAAAGGGUGCGUAGGCGGCGCGGUAAGUCGGGUGUGAAAUCUCGGAGCUUAACUCCGAAACUGCAUUCGAUACUGCCGUGCUUGAGGACUGGAGAGGAGACUGGAAUUUACGGUGUAGCGGUGAAAUGCGUAGAUAUCGUAAGGAAGACCAGUGGCGAAGGCGGGUCUCUGGACAGUUCCUGACGCUGAGGCACGAAGGCCAGGGGAGCAAAACGGG